rnacentral:rRNA from 1 species
CACGUAGGGCGCAAGCGUUGUCCGGAAUUAUUGGGCGUAAAGAGUUCGUAGGCGGUCUGUUGCGUCCGCUGUGAAAACUCGGGGCUUAACCCCGAGCCUGCAGUGGAUACGGGCAGACUAGAGGUAGGUAGGGGAGAAUGGAAUUCCCGGUGUAGCGGUGAAAUGCGCAGAUAUCGGGAGGAACACCGGUGGCGAAGGCGGUUCUCUGGGCAUGAUCUGACGCUGAGGAGCGAAAGUGUGGGGAGCGAACAGG